CACAUACACAUACACAUACACAUAAACACACACAUGCAAUGUAUGUUCUGAUUCUUGUCUUUCUCACAACCAACAACGAAUUAUCUUAAACAACCAAUAGGAUAUAAGCUUAUUGCAAGCCCAUAAUGAUCGAUAUACGUCAUCCUCAUUGUAUCAGAGUUUGAAUUUUAUAGGGCCUCUGUAAUUAAGUUCCAGCAUAGAACGAAACUUAAUAUGCGUUCAUGUAUUGUACUGUUUUUGUAACGUAUUCAACACAUUUUUGAUCUCACGUGGCGGAGUCUAUGCGCGUGCGCAUGCGCAAAGCGAAAGUGCACAUGCUAGCACAGGUAACCGCCGUAGCCGAUGGAAGACAGCGAGGCAGAGACGAAGAACUUCACGUCUUCAUGAUCUGGCAGCACAAUUAGAUGUUGAAACACUACAGUAGAAAAGAACUGAUGGAGAGGGAACCUGCUGUGAAGGAUACAGUGGAAAGGUGGCCAGCACUCUUUAUGGAGUGUCAGAUUCUGGCAGAGUUCACUCUUAUAUCUGGCAAAGACCUACAAACCGAAUUAUUUCUAGAACUGGACCGUUGACAUCUCAGAGCCAAAGGGGGAGACAUUGGCUCUAAACUUAAGAAGAUUCUGCAACAGAAUUUCAACAUUCAACAUUGAAAAUAAUAAAUCUGACAUCAUUGGGAGACGAACAGCAGUUCUUGAUGGCCUUCCACUCCUCCUUGGAGAAGACCCCACUGAUUUUUACAAGACAUGUAUUGUAAGUAGUUUUGUCUGUUUUGUUCUGGUAUUAUGGGGCUUUGGCACUGCAGGAACGAUUUCAUAGUUCUGGGAAGAUUUGGCGGAAGUACCUUCUUUUUGUUGUUCGCACCGCAGGA